rnacentral:rRNA from 1 species
GACGUAGGGCGCAAGCGUUGUCCGGAUUUAUUGGGCGUAAAGGGUGCGCAGGCGGCAGAGCGCGUCCACGCUGAAAUCUGUUGGCUUAACUGACAGGCGCGUGUGGAUACGGCUCAGCUCGAGGCACGGAGAGGGUGGGGGAACUCCUGGUGUAGUGGUGAAAUGCGUAGAGAUCAGGAAGACCACCAGUGGCGAAGGCGGCUUGCCAGAACGCGCUCGACGGUGAGGGAUGAAAGCUGGGGGAGCAAACCGG